rnacentral:tRNA from 1 species
GCCUGGGUGGUUCAGUUGCUUAAACGUCUGACUUCGGCUCAGGUCAUGAUCUCAUGGUUUGUGGGUUCAAGCCCCGCAUCAAGCU